AUACGGAAGGUCCGGGCGUUAUCCGGAUUUAUUGGGUUUAAAGGGAGCGCAGGCGGAGAUGCAAGCGUGACGUCAAAUUUCGGGGCUCAACCCCGUCUCGCGUCGCGAACUGCGUCCCUUGGUUGCGGGAAGGGGAGGCGGAACUCGUGGUGUAGCGGUGAAAUGCAUAGAUAUCACGAAGAACUCCGAUCGCGAAGGCAGCCUUCCGGCCCGUCAACGACGCUCAUGCUCGUAGGUGCGGGUAUCAAACAGGAUUAGAUACCCUGGUAGUCCGCACAGUAAACGAUGGACACCCGCGGUUUGGCCUAUAUGGCUGAGCCGCCAAGCGAAAGCGUUAAGUGUCCCACCUGGGGAGUACGCCGGCAACGGUGAAACUCAAAGGAAUUGACGGGG
rnacentral:rRNA from 1 species